UCGGUCCAGAAGCACUUUACAGAACCCAAUCGGGAUUUUGUGAAGUGGGCAGCGGGAGUUCGGUCUCUCUUCCGGGUCAGGCGCUUCUUUUGGUGCACAUUGUCUGGCUCAUUGUUCGUGGAAGUAGUGGAAGGUGAUGUGAGGAAUGUUCUCUGCGAUGCUGUAGAAAGACAUCAUGCUUCACUGCUGGUCGUGGGUAGUCAUGGUUAUGGAACUAUAAAGAGGUUGAUGCUGCUUCUAAUAGAAGUC